rnacentral:rRNA from 1 species
AACGAACGCUGGCGGCAGGCUUAACACAUGCAAGUCGAGCGCCCCGCAAGGGGAGCGGCAGAGGGGUGAGUAAAGCGUGGGAAUACACCGUGCCCUACGGAAUAGUUCCGGGAAACUGGACUUAAUACCGUAUACGACCUACGGGUGAAAGAUUUAGCGGGGUGUGAUGAGCCCGCGGUGGAUGAGCUAGUUGGGGGGGUAAAGGCCGACCAAGGCGACGAGCCAUAGCUGGUCUGAGAGGAUGAACAGCCACAUUGGGACUGAGACACGGACCAAACUCCUACGGGAGGCAGCGGGGGGGAAUAUUGUACAAUGGUCGCAAGUCUAGUCCAGCCAUGCCGCGUGGGUGAUGAAGGUCUUAGGAUUGUAAAGCUCUUUCACCGGGGAGGAGAAUGACGGUAACCGGAGAAGAAGCCCCGGCUAACUUCGUGCCAGCCGCCGCCGUAAAAC